UGGGGAAUUUUGGACAAUGGGCGAAAGCCUGAUCCAGCAAUGCCGCGUGUGUGAAGAAGGCCUUCGGGUUGUAAAGCACUUUUGUCCGGAAAGAAAUCCUUGGCUCUAAUACAGUCGGGGGAUGACGGUACCGGAAGAAUAAGCACCGGCUAACUACGUGCCAGCAGCCGCGGUAAUACGUAGGGUGCAAGCGUUAAUCGGAAUUACUGGGCGUAAAGCGUGCGCAGGCGGUUUGCUAAGACCGAUGUGAAAUCCCCGGGCUCAACCUGGGAACUGCAUUGGUGACUGGCAGGCUAGAGUAUGGCAGAGGGGGUAGAAUUCCACGUGUAGCAGUGAAAUGCGUAGAGAUGUGGAGGAAUACCGAUGGCGAAGGCAGCCCCCUGGGCCAAAUACUGACGCUCAUGCACGAAAGCGUGGGGAGCAAACAGGAUUAGAUACCCUGGUAGUCCACGCCCUAAACGAUGUCAACUAGUUGUUGGGGAUUCAUUUCCUUAGUAACGUAGCUAACGCGUGAAGUUGACCGCCUGGGGAGUACGGUCGCAAGAUUAAAACUC
rnacentral:rRNA from 1 species